UGGGGUAUAGCUCAGUGGCAUUUGACUGCAGAUCAAGAGGUCCCUGGUUCAAAUCCAGGUGCCCUCU
rnacentral:tRNA from 1 species